CAGGGGCACUUCUGUUUGGUUCACCAGGGGCAACAGUAUGUCCACAGUACAUGCCCUUCCCACUGGGUAAUUGGCAGUUUAUCAUGCAAUUGUUGUGUGGUUGGCUUCUAGGUUGUCAUUGGUAUAAGUGACAUUUGGUGGAAUGAUACUCGAGUGCUAGGAUGGAGGGCUAUCAGCUAUUCAGAAGUGGCAAGGCAGGAGAUCAAUAGCAUUACUGAAUGUUCACAAGACCAUGCAUCCUGACAGCAUUCACCCCAGAAUACCAGAAGAACUAGAAGAUUUUAUAGCUGAACGCUUGUCAACAAUCUACGAAAGGUCAUGGGAGUCUAAUGAGGUCCCUGCUGACUGCAAAAUAGAUAAUAUUAUACUGACUUAAAAGGAGGGUGAGACGAUGAAUACCCAGGAAAUUACAGAACUGUUAGUUUAAAUACAGUCUGUGGAAAAUUAUGGAGAAGAUUAUCCUAAGUGAUAGUGAAAGGCAUAAAGAACUAAGCUAUUAUCAGGCAUAGGCAACAGGAAUAGCAUGAAUGAAGUAGAUAGAAUGGAGUGUUGGACCUACCCUACUUACCUUACCCUAGCCUAGCCUAGCCUAGCCUAGCC